rnacentral:rRNA from 1 species
GACGAACGCUGGCGGCGUGCCUAAUACAUGCAAGUCGAACGCUUCUUUCCUCCCGAGUGCUUGCACUCAAUUGGAAAGAGGAGUGGCGGACGGGUGAGUAACACGCUGGUAACCUACCCAUCAGAGGGGGAUAACACUUGGAAACAGGUGCUAAUACCGCAUAACAGUUUAUGCCGCAUGGCAUAAGAGUGAAAGGCGAUUUCGGGUGUCGCUGAUGGAUGGACCCGCGGUGCAUUAGCUAGUUGGUGAGGUAACGGCUCACCAAGGCGACGAUGCAUAGCCGACCUGAGAGGGUGAUCGGCCACACUGGGACUGAGACACGGCCCAGACUCCUACGGGAGGCAGCAGUAGGGAAUCUUCGGCAAUGGACGAAAGUCUGACCGAGCAACGCCGCGUGAGUGAAGAAGGUUUUCGGAUCGUAAAACUCUGUUGUUAGAGAAGAACAAGGACGUUAGUAACUGAACGUCCCCUGACGGUAUCUAACCAGAAAGCCACGGCUAACUACGUG